rnacentral:lncRNA from 10 species
AUGGUGAAACCCCAUCUCUACUUAAAAUAUAAAAAUUAGCUGGGCGUGGUGGCACACACCUACUCAGGAGGCUGAGGCAGGAGAAUCACUAGAACCCAGGAGGCGGAGGUUGCAGUGAGCCGAGAUCGUGCCACUGCACUCCAGCCUGGGCAACAGAGCAAGACUCCGUCUCAAAAAAAAAAAGUAAGGCUAAGCCAACCUUGCCUUUAAGGAGCUUUUGUCUGUAAAUAUACUUCCUAGUUUCACCAACAUGCAAGAUGAUACCUGAACACUUUUUAAACUAUUGGGAAAUGAUACUUUUCAUAAUAGUAAAAGUAAUGAACCAGAUGUCACAAGAUCCAAGUCUUGCACAGCAGGAACUGUGGAGUUGGACAUUUAAUCCAAGUCCUUUGUCCCCCACAUCCCUUGGUGCUACCCUAUAUUAGCUCAGGGAUACUGGGCAAAUGAGGAGCUCAGAAGUGCUGCUUUUCUAAGAAAUAAUCUAGGUUUGACAGCAACUUCUAUAAGCUUAAAUUUUUAAUUGCUACAUUUUUGUGCAGCAUCCUUGAUACUACAGUUUCAA